GACGAACGCUGGCGGCGUGCUUAACACAUGCAAGUCGAACGGUGAAGCGCCUUCCUUUUUGGUGGGUGUGGAUGAGUGGCGAACGGGUGAGUAACACGUGAGUAACCUGCCCCCUUCUUCUGGAUAACCGCAUGAAAGUGUGGCUAAUACGGGAUAUUCUGAGUCUGUCGCAUGAUGGGUCUGGGAAAGAUAUUGUUUCGGUGGGGGAUGGGCUCGCGGCCUAUCAGCUUGUUGGUGGGGUGAUGGCCUACCAAGGCGGUGACGGGUAGCCGGCCUGAGAGGGUGGACGGUCACACUGGGACUGAGACACGGCCCAGACUCCUACGGGAGGCAGCAGUGGGGAAUAUUGCACAAUGGGCGCAAGCCUGAUGCAGCGACGCCGCGGGAGGGAUGGAGGCCUUCGGGUUGUGAACCUCUUUCGCCAGUGAAGCAGGCCUGCCUCGUUUGUGGGUGGGUUGACGGUAGCUGGAUAAGAAGCGCCGGCUAACUACGUG
rnacentral:rRNA from 1 species